rnacentral:rRNA from 1 species
UACGGAGGGUGCAAGCGUUAUCCGGAUUCACUGGGUUUAAAGGGUGCGUAGGUGGUUUUGUAAGUCAGUGGUGAAAGCCCGGAGCUCAACUCCGGAACUGCCAUUGAUACUGCUUAACUUGAAUCAAGUAGAGGUGGAUGGAAUAUUACAUGUAGCGGUGAAAUGCUUAGAUAUGUAAUAGAACACCAUUGCGAAGGCAGUUCACUAUGCUUGUAUUGACACUGAG